GAUGAACGCUGGCGGCGUGCCUAAUACAUGCAAGUCGAGCGGUCGGAGGAGUUCCUUUCUCCUCGGGUGUUGGCGGCGGACGGGUUAGUAACGCGUGGGUAACCUAGCUGGGAGACAGGGAUAACUUGGUGAAACCAUAGCUAAUACCGUAUAAUGAUUUGAACCGCAGGGUUCAAGAGUGAGAGACGGUCUUGCUGCCACUGAUAGAUUGAUCCGUGCUUCAUUAGCUAGUUGGUCAGGUAACGGCUUACCAAGGCGACGAUGCGUAGCCGACCUGAGAGGGUGAUCGGCCACACUGGAACUGAGACACGGCCCAGACUCCUACGGGAGGCAGCAGUAGGGAAUCUUGGACAAUGGGCGAAAGCCUGAUGGAGCAACGCCGCGUGCAGGAUGAAGGUCUUCGGAUCGUAAAAUGCUGUUGUACGGAACGAACAUCCGUCUAAUUAAACGGGAAGAUCAUGACGGUACCUAAACAGAAAGCACCGGCUAACUACGUG
rnacentral:rRNA from 1 species